AGGCCUUGCUGUAGUCAACCCAG
rnacentral:miRNA from 1 species